AUGUUUUGUCUCUGCCAGGUGAGAUCAGGGAUGUGCCUUUGCAGAGGGACAUGGAGUGGGAUAUGCAUAUGGAUUGACUUCAGCAGCAUGCUCCUGGCCUGGGAUGAGCACCAUCCCUGUCCUGGAAUUGGCAGUGACCGUUCUACUGUGAGAAAACCUGCAGGAUCUAUAUGGGGCAGUGCCAUCAUGCCUGGCCCAGAGCCCUGCAGCUCAUGCUCAGAUCCCCAGAAAAAGGGGGGGGACACCAAUGCAAGAGUUCACACAUCCCAAAAUAGCGAGACAAGGAAAAGCAAGUUGUCCAUCAGUGGCACUUCCUUAUGUCACACCAGCUGGCAGCACCGUGAGCUGGGCUCGCACUGCCAUCCUUGUGUGGGUAGAGAUGCUCCUGAGGCCAAGCAAGUCUUUGGGCUGCAGAGACAGACGGGACAGGACCAGCCCUUGGACUUCCCAGCAGGUGAAUGGAGAGAGCAGAUCGUUGUUCAUCAUGGGGGUCCCAGCUUCCCUCACCGCCUUUGGAACCGGUCGUGGCAUCCUCCCAGGAUUAUAAAUCCAACCACACUGAAUCCGGAGUGAAUCGGAGAGACUGCCCCAAAGCAGUCUGGAAAAACAGGCGUCAGCAAGCCUGGAACUUGGGCAUCUGAUGGUUUGGAAGGAAAUUUCUCAAUCCAGCGUGGAUCCCUGCUGCUGUAUGGGUUUGU
rnacentral:lncRNA from 1 species